UGGGGAAUAUUGCACAAUGGGCGAAAGCCUGAUGCAGCGACGCCGCGUGAGGGAUAACGGCCUUCGGGUUGUAAACCUCUUUCAGCAGGGACGAAGCGCAAGUGACGGUACCUGCAGAAGAAGCACCGGCUAACUACGUGCCAGCAGCCGCGGUAAUACGUAGGGUGCAAGCGUUGUCCGGAAUUACUGGGCGUAAAGAGUUCGUAGGCGGUUUGUCGCGUCGUUUGUGAAAACCAGCAGCUCAACUGCUGGCUUGCAGGCGAUACGGGCAGACUUGAGUACUGCAGGGGAGACUGGAAUUCCUGGUGUAGCGGUGAAAUGCGCAGAUAUCAGGAGGAACACCGGUGGCGAAGGCGGGUCUCUGGGCAGUAACUGACGCUGAGGAACGAAAGCGUGGGUAGCGAACAGG
rnacentral:rRNA from 1 species